rnacentral:tRNA from 1 species
GGGGAUGUAUCUUAGUGGUAGAGUGCUUGCCUGGCAUGCAUGAGGCCCUAGGUUCAAUUCCCACUGCUA